GGCCAGUCGGGAGUUAAUUAAACAUUUGGAGCUUCUCGAAGAACAAGAACGGGUACGAUUUCUUCAUAGUAAGUCAGGCUGUGCACUUUGGUUGUGUCGCACCUAUUCACUACAACGUGGUGUUCAACAGUAGCGGCUCAAACCAGAUCACAUGCAGAGACUCACCUACAAACUCUGCCACAUGUACUACAACUGGCAGGGUAUCGUCCGAGUGCCAGCACCAUGACAGUACGCCCACAAACUGGCCUUCCUGGUUGGUCCGAGCAUUCACAAGGAGCCCAACAUGAACCUGGAUGACUUCUUGUACUACCUCUAACCUGCUUAAGUGAUCAGUUUCAGGGUCUCAAAGAAUAAUAGGGCCAUUUUUAUUAGUUUAUUUUCCAAGUAGAUUGAGUUGUGUGAAGAAGUACACUGUCAGAAGAAUGUUUGUUUAUAUACCUACAUGUGUUUUCAGAGAGAAGCAGGUAUAAAGUUGUUUUCUGUUUGUAAGGGGAAAUGCAUAUGGUCCUACUUUUUUUUAAUCUUUCUAAUGUUCACUUGAAUUGUUCUGGUGUCUAGUGAAUAUAGACCAUGUUUUGUGUGUGUGUGUGUGUGUGUGUGUGUGUGUGUGUGUAAAGGGAUGGUUCAAAUUGCAGAUUUCUUGGAUUUUAUGUUUAGAGGCCCUGAUUGUUAAUAGAAUUAAGUAAACAUUUAUUUUCUGGUUUCCGGUAUAAAAGUUGAAUGGUUAUAUCUGAUUAAUACCUUCGCGUUCGUGUACUAUAUGCAUGUAUGGGUUUUCAUGUUUUUCACACAAUUAAAUAUAUUGAUGCUCUGUUUAUCAAAAUUGAAUUGUAGUAUGAUUAUAGCAUAAGACAAAAGAAAGGUAAGGAAGGUUUACACAAAUCAGAAACAUUGGGAAGAGCUGAAGUUCAGAAAGUGGUCAUUUAGGAUUGUAUUGAUGUGUUGAAGGGAUUCGUCAGAUUGAGUUUUAUUGUGCACUGAUAAGAAGAAUAAAGCUCAAGUUAACGUGGCUUGGCUCUUUAAUUUGCCACAAUUGAGCUCAUAGUGACGAAGGAUUUGAUAAAACGAUGGCAUUAAUAAAUGUACAUGGACAGGUGAACAUGUCAUGCAAAAUUGAAUAAUUGUUAUUUUGGCAUUAAAGUUUAUUGUGGACAACCCAGU
rnacentral:lncRNA from 1 species